rnacentral:rRNA from 1 species
CCUAAUUAAUUCUACUAAUAGUUAUAUACUUAUCUUAAAGAUUAAGCUAUAUAUAUUUAAGUAUAAGUAAUUAUAUAGUAAAACUGCGAAUAGCUUAUUAUAUAAGUUAUUAUUUAUUUAAUAAUAUUUUACUAUUUAGAUAACUAUAGUAAUUCUAAAGCUAAUAUAUACUAAAAAUCCUAACUUUAGAAGGGAUAUAUUUAUUAGAUUAAAAACUAAUAUCCUUUAAGGCUCACUAGUGAUUUAUAAUAACUUCUCGAAUUAUAUAGCUUUAUAUUAAUGAUAGUUUAUUUAAAUUUCUUCCCUAUUAACUUUCAAUACUAAAGUAGUAUUCUAGUAUAGUUAUAAUAGGUAAUAGAGGGUUAGGAUUUAACUCCAGAGAAGGAGCCUAAGAAAUAGCUACUAUAUCUAAAAAAGGCAGCAGGCGCACAAAUUACCCAAUCCCAACACGGAGAGGUAGUGAUAAUAAAUACUAAUAUAAAGCUCUUUUAGGUCUUAUAAUUAGAAUAAGUAUAAUUUAAAUUCCUUAAUAAGGAAUAAUUAGAAGGUAAAUUUAGUACCAGCAGCUGUAGUAAUUCUAACUCUAAUAGUAUAUAUUAAAAUUAUUAUAGUUAAAAAGCUUAUAGUAGAACCUUAAGCUUAACUAGCCAAUCUACCUCACUGUAUAUACUGAUCCAACUGAGCCUUUCCCUCUGUGGAACUAUAUACCCUUCACUAAGUAUACUAGGGAAACAGAACUUUUACUUUAAAAAAAUUAGAAUACUUCAGGCAGGCCUAUACUUAAAUAUAUUAGUAUAGAAUAAUAGAAUAGAAUAUGUAAUUCUAUUUUAUUAGUUUCUAGGAUCACUAUAAUAAUUAAUAGGGACAGUCAAGAAUAUUAGUAUUUAAUUAUCAGAGGUGAAAUUCUUAGAUUUAUUAAAGACUAACUACUACGAAAGCAUUUACUAAGAAUGUUUUUAUUUAUUAGGAAUGAAAGUUAGGAGAUUGAAGACAAUCAGAUACCAUCAUAAUCUUAACUAUAAACUAUACUAACUAGAGAUCAGAUAAUAUUAUUUUUUAACUCGUUCGGCACCUUACGAGAAAUCAAAAUACUUAAGCUCCAGGGGGAGUAUAGUCGCAAAGCUGAAACUUAAAGAAAUUGACAGAAGGAUACCACUAGGGGUAAACAGUAGCCAUUCAAGCUCUACCCCAGACAGUAAGCCUAUAAAGGGUCCAGUAGCUAGCCCCAAAUCGCUAGUCACCCUAGUAGUAGCAAUAUCCCCCAAUUGCGAGAAACCCUCAGAGAGUAGCACUCCCAAGCAGCACUCGAAAGAGAUACUGUAACGGCAGCAUAACGGCCGCCAGUAUAGAGACAAUAUACUACUCAUAAGGCAACUUGCAGCUAAGCCCCUAACUACAGGGAAGGUUUAGAGACUUAAUAGGGAUAGGUAGCGCCCCCAGAUGCCACCUAAAAUAGAGUCCAUACCCGCUCGAGAGAGUGGAAACUAACUAGUAUAUUACCUAAAAAGGGAGCCUGUAGCUUAAUUUAACUCAAUAUAGGGAAACUCACUAAAUCUAGACACAAUAAGGAUUAACAGAUUAAAAGCUCUUUCUUAAUUUUAUAGGUAGUAGUGUAUAGCCAUUCUUAGUUAGUAGAGUAAUUUAUCUACUUAAUUACGAUAACGAACGAGACCUUAACCUACUAAAUAGCCUAUAUUACUUUAGCAGUAUACUAACUUCUUAGAGGGACUAUUAGCUUAAGCUGAUAGAAGUUUAAGGUAAUAACAAGUUAACCUUCACAGG